AGAGUUUGAUCAUGGCUCAGGAUGAACGCUAGCGGGAGGCUUAACACAUGCAAGUCGAGGGGCAGCACGGGACUUCGGUUCUGGUGGCGACCGGCGCACGGGUGCGUAACGCGUAUGCAACCUACCUUAUACAAAGGGAUAGCCCAUGGAAACGUGGAUUAAUACCUUAUGGUACUAUAAAGCUGCAUAGUUUAAUAGUUAAAACUUCGGUGGUAUAAGAUGGGCAUGCGUAGGAUUAGAUAGUUGGUGAGGUAAUGGCUCACCAAGUCAACGAUCCUUAGGGGUUCUGAGAGGAUUAUCCCCCACACUGGUACUGAGACACGGACCAGACUCCUACGGGAGGCAGCAGUGAGGAAUAUUGGUCAAUGGACGAGAGUCUGAACCAGCCAUCCCGCGUGCAGGAUGACGGCCCUAUGGGUUGUAAACUGCUUUNGUAUGCCAAGAAACCUAUCUACGUGUAGAUAGGGGACGG
rnacentral:rRNA from 1 species